rnacentral:snoRNA from 1 species
AUUUCAUGAUGGGGUCAAUCUUGAAUGUAUCCUUACAAAUGCUCCCAUGCUUCUGAAAUGGUUUCUGUCUUCUGCUAUUAGAAACUCGUAAUCUUUGCUCUUAAGGA